rnacentral:rRNA from 1 species
GUAGGCGGCAAGCGUUGUCCGGAAUUAUUGGGCGUAAAGCGCGCGCAGGCGGUUCUUUAAGUCUGAUGUGAAAGCCCACGGCUCAACCGUGGAGGGUCAUUGGAAACUGGAGAACUUGAGUACAGAAGAGGAAAGCGGAAUUCCACGUGUAGCGGUGAAAUGCGUAGAGAUGUGGAGGAACACCAGUGGCGAAGGCGGCUUUCUGGUCUGUAACUGACGCUGAGGCGCGAAAGCGUGGGGAGCAAACAGGGAUUAGAUACCCUGGUAGUCCACGCCGUAAACGAUGAGUGCUAAGUGUUAGGGGGGUUUCCGCCCCCUUAGUGCUGCAGCUAACGCAUUAAGCACUCCGCCUGGGGAGUACGGCCGCAAGGCUG